CACACGUGACAGAAUGCUGCCGGGGAGGCGCUCGCUGCCUCCCCGGCCCCACCGGCCUCUUCCCACUCGCCCUGCGGGCGCGUCGGUCGCUGGCCGGAAUACGGCGCGGGCUGACGCCAAGGAACACGAGAGAGCCGACGCAACGGC
rnacentral:misc_RNA from 1 species